rnacentral:lncRNA from 1 species
GGCUAGGGGUCGAAUCAGAGUUGUAGCCACUGGCCUAUGCCACAGCCACAACCACAGUCACACAACAGCAAUGCCAGAAAUGAGCCACAUCUACGACCUACACCACAGCUCACAGCAACGCUGGAUCCUUAACCCACUGAGCAAAGCCAGGGAUCAAACCUGUAUCCUCAUAGAUACUAGUCAGAUUCAUUAACCGCUGAGCCAUAAUAGGAACUCCUCUCUUCCUCUUUCUUAAAGUAGCUCUGGAAACUCCAAAACUGGGCCAUAUGCCUCAGUGCCUGCUCUCCUGGGACCCUGGGUUUCUUCACACUUGAAUCUUGUUUUCGCUUAUGGGAAACUGGGGGUCCUGGGCUCCAUCCAGUGCAUAGUGGGGAGGGGGCAGCCUGCUUCACACUGAUCUCACCCUCAUGUCUGGUGUGCUGGCUCAAAGGACCAAUCAAAAUUCAAAAGACAUUAGGAUUUAUGUGUCAGGGUGAGGUCUUCCCAGUUAACUAGAGAACAAGCCGACUAGAGCUCAAGGCAUUUGGUGGUUGCUCCAGAAUUCCAAUAGAGCCCCCAGGGGGUGGAUGGGGGCUGACUUUGACCAAACCCCAGGGUCUGGGACAGCUCUGUUCCCGGGACAGAUCUGUUCCUCUGCCUAGCCCUGGAGCCACAGGGCAAGGAGCUCACUGCAGAUGGCAGAUUUAUGGCCCUGAUUCAGAGACAUGCUUUUUUUUUUUUUUUUUUUUUUUUUUUUUUUUUGCUUUUUAGGGCCACACCUGUGGCAUGUGGAGGUUCCCAGCCUGGGAACCUCCAGAUGCUGCGAAUAUGGCCCUAAAAAGCCAAAAAAAAAAAAAAAAGUGACUGCUAUUGUCAUUUCCCACCUAUCUAGGGUGACACCCAGAGUGGUGAGCCAGGACUGUGUGAUUGGGGGGGUGGAGAUGGAGUGUCUGCUGAACNNNNNNNNNNNNNNNNNAGGUAGAGUUAGACCUGGAAUCCAUUGCUUUCUUGCUGUGUCACCUCGGGGAGCUUACCUAUCUCUCUGUGCCUAAGUGUCUCAUGUGAAAUAAGGGAGCUCUUGAAAGUAGCCAUUCUACAGAGGUCUUACAAGAGUAAACGGGGUCAGGAGUGAAGAGCACAGGGCCUGCCUGUGUCUCAGUAAAGAGGGGUUCACUGCUCAGUAAAGGGGGGCUAGCAUUAUCAUUGGUGGCCAUUAGGGAGGAAUGGGGGGGUGUUGUGAGAGUGAAACAGAGAUAUGGUGAGGGACUCGAUUUCAUCCGAGGGCAGGGGCUUGGGUCCCUCUGUGAGGUGUUGGGACCCCCGGCCUUCCGUGUCUCUGCUGACAUAUUGGGUAGGUGAACAGGACCCUCCUGGUAAAGGCUCUGGGGUCUCAGAAGAUGCCUAUUUCCAGGAGAAAACCUAGGAAAACUGUGCCUUCAUCUCUUGGGUUCCAUGGGGCAGGACUUGGGUGAUCUUAACCAAAGCCCAUAGAGUGUACUGGAAGGAGCAGAUUUUGGAUUCAAAUCCCAGCUCCUGGGAGUUCUCUGAUAGCUUCGCUGGUUAAGGCCCCUGUGUUUCCACCGCAGUGGCUCAGGUCGCUGCUAUGGCAUAGGUUUGAUCCCUUGCCCGGGAACUUCCACAUGCUUUGGGUGUGGCAAAAAAGAAAAGAAAAAAAGAAGAGGCAUUUCCACUGUGGCUCAACGGAAACAAAUCUGAUGAGUAUCCUCGAGGGUUCGGGUUCAUUGCCUGGGUUAAGGAUCUGGUGUUGCUGUGAGCUGUGGUGUAGACCAGCAGCGACAGCUCCGAUUCAACCCCUAGCCUGGGAACUUCCUUAUAAAAUUUGAAAAAAAAAAAAAAGAAAGAGGAAAAAAAAAAAA